GACGAACGCUGGCGGCGUGCUUAACACAUGCAAGUCGAACGGAAAGGCCCUGCUUUUGUGGGGUUCUCGCGUGGCGAACGGGUUAGUAACCCGUUAGUAACCUUCCCUUUCCUUUGGGAUAACUUCCGGAAACUGGGGCUAAUUCCGGAUAGUAGCUCCUGCUGCAUGGUGGGGGUUGGAAAGUUUCGGCGGUUGGGGAUGGACUCGCGGCUUAUCAGCUUGUUGGUGGGGUAGUGGCUUACCAAGGCUUUGACGGGUAGCCGGCCUGAGAGGGUGACCGGCCACAUUGGGACUGAGAUACGGCCCAGACGCCUACGGGAGGGAGCAGUGGGGAAUAUUGCAAAAUGGGCGGAAGCCUGAUGCAGCAACGCCGCGUGCGGGAUGACGGCCUUCGGGUGGUAAACCGCUUUCGCCUGUGACGAAGCGGGAGUGACGGUAAUGGGUAAAGAAGCACCGGCUAACUACGUG
rnacentral:rRNA from 1 species